rnacentral:misc_RNA from 1 species
GAUGAAGAACGUAGCGAAAUGCGAUAAGUAAUGUGAAUUGCAGAAUUCAGUGAAUCAUCGAAUCUUUGAACGCACAUUGCGCCCGCCAGUAUUCUGGCGGGCAUGCCUGUCCGAGCGUCAUUACAACCCUCAAGCUCAGCUUGGUAUUGGGCCCCGCCGACCCGGCGGGCCCUAAAGUCAGUGGCGGUGCCGUCCGGCUCCGAGCGUAGUAAUUCUUCUCGCUCUGGAGGUCCGGUCGUGUGCUCGCCAGCAACCCCCAAUUUUUUUCAGGUUGACCUCGGAUCAGGUAGGGAUACCCGCUGAACUUAAGCAUAUCAAUAAGCGGAGGA